AGCGAACGCUGGCGGCAGGCUUAACACAUGCAAGUCGAGCGCCUGUAGCAAUACAGGAGCGGCAGACGGGAGAGUAACACGUGGGAAUAUGCCCUUCGGUUCGGAAUAACUCAGGGAAACUUGAGCUAAUACCGGAUACGCCCUUACGGGGAAAGAUUUAUUGCCGAAGGAUUAGCCCGCGUCCGAUUAGCUAGUUGGUGAGGUAACGGCUCACCAAGGCGACGAUCGGUAGCUGGUCUGAGAGGAUGAUCAGCCUCAUUGGGACUGAGACACGGCCCAAACUCCUACGGGAGGCAGCAGUGGGGAAUAUUGGACAAUGGGCGCAAGCCUGAUCCAGCCAUGCCGCGUGGGUGAUGAAGGCCCUAGGGUUGUAAAGCCCUUUCGGCGGGGAAGAUAAUGACGGUACCCGCAGAAGAAGCCCCGGCUAACUUCGUGCCAGCAGCCGCGGUAA
rnacentral:rRNA from 1 species